rnacentral:rRNA from 1 species
UUGAACGCUGGCGGCAGGCCUAACACAUGCAAGUCGAGCGGUAGCACAGAGAGCUUGCUCUCGGGUGACGAGCGGCGGACGGGUGAGUAAUGUCUGGGAAACUGCCUGAUGGAGGGGGAUAACUACUGGAAACGGUAGCUAAUACCGCAUAACGUCGCAAGACCAAAGUGGGGGACCUUCGGGCCUCAUGCCAUCAGAUGUGCCCAGAUGGGAUUAGCUGGUAGGUGGGGUAACGGCUCACCUAGGCGACGAUCCCUAGCUGGUCUGAGAGGAUGACCAGCCACACUGGAACUGAGACACGGUCCAGACUCCUACGGGAGGCAGCAGUGGGGAAUAUUGCACAAUGGGCGCAAGCCUGAUGCAGCCAUGCCGCGUGUGUGAAGAAGGCCUUCGGGUUGUAAAGCACUUUCAGCGGGGAGGAAGGCGGUGAGGUUAAUAACCUCAUCGAUUGACGUUACCCGCAGAAGAAGCACCGGCUAACUCCGUGCCAGCAGCCGCGGUAAUACGGAGGGUGCAAGCGUUAAUCGGAAUUACUGGGCGUAAAGCGCACGCAGGCGGUCUGUCAAGUCGGAUGUGAAAUCCCCGGGCUCAACCUGGGAACUGCAUUCGAAACUGGCAGGCUAGAGUCUUGUAGAGGGGGGUAGAAUUCCAGGUGUAGCGGUGAAAUGCGUAGAGAUCUGGAGGAAUACCGGUGGCGAAGGCGGCCCCCUGGACAAAGACUGACGCUCAGGUGCGAAAGCGUGGGGAGCAAACAGGAUUAGAUACCCUGGUAGUCCACGCCGUAAACGAUGUCGACUUGGAGGUUGUACCCUUGAGGCGUGGCUUCCGGAGCUAACGCGUUAAAUCGACCGCCUGGGGAGUACGGCCGCAAGGUUAAAACUCAAAUGAAUUGACGGGGGCCCGCACAAGCGGUGGAGCAUGUGGUUUAAUUCGAUGCAACGCGAAGAACCUUACCUGGUCUUGACAUCCACAGAACUUUCCAGAGAUGGAUUGGUGCCUUCGGGAACUGUGAGACAGGUGCUGCAUGGCUGUCGUCAGCUCGUGUUGUGAAAUGUUGGGUUAAGUCCCGCAACGAGCGCAACCCUUAUCCUUUGUUGCCAGCGGUCCGGCCGGGAACUCAAAGGAGACUGCCAGUGAUAAACUGGAGGAAGGUGGGGAUGACGUCAAGUCAUCAUGGCCCUUACGACCAGGGCUACACACGUGCUACAAUGGCAUAUACAAAGAGAAGCGACCUCGCGAGAGCAAGCGGACCUCAUAAAGUAUGUCGUAGUCCGGAUUGGAGUCUGCAACUCGACUCCAUGAAGUCGGAAUCGCUAGUAAUCGUAGAUCAGAAUGCUACGGUGAAUACGUUCCCGGGCCUUGUACACACCGCCCGUCACACCAUGGGAGUGGGUUGCAAAAGAAGUAGGUAGCUUAACCUUCGGGAGGGCGCUUACCACUUUGUGAUUCAUGACUGGGGUG